AUGAGUUCGUUUGUCAACAGUUCUCGAGACUAUAGACAUGGUGUUCUCACAAUUAGAAAGAUGCGAUAACAAUCAAGCUAUGUAGCCGCACUGAUAGUGAAGUCUAGUAUCCAAACGAGAUGACCCAGAUAUGCAAUUUCGAGGACGAAAUUUUUAUAAGGAGGGAGGAAUGUAACACCCCGCCUAUUUAUAUUAAAUUUAGAAUUAUUUUGAACUUAGAUUAAGAUGAUUUAUGCCGGAGAAAUGAAAAUGAGUUUAUUCCAACAAAAUUAUUUUCAAAAGCUUUUAUAAAAUUUAGUCUUUUGAAUUUAUGUGCAUUGCAUAAAUUGAAUUAUAUGAAUGUGAUUAAUUCUAUAUGCUAAUAUUAUUUUUAAUACUACAUGAUUUAAUUUAAGUCUAAGUUAGGCUUUAAUUAUUUUGAAUGUGUUGAGCCUCGACAAAUAUUAUUUUGGGCCCUAGUCUUAAUUAAGCCUUCCUUGUUAAUAAUUAAGCCCAAAAAGAGAAGCCCAACCCACGCUUCCUAGCUGCCAAGUACAGCACCUCCAUUUUUACUCCUUCACCCAUCUUAACCAUGCGCCCACUCUUUUGCACGCUUCCUACCAUUUUUGACUCCUUCACCCAUGCUUCCUAUCAGCCACCCCACUCCAUCUCAUGUCAACCCAAUCAACUUCAAAAGUCAAGAUUUAGUCAUGCUUGGCAGCCACCAACUCCCCUAAUUUCAGCCCUCAAAUAUCUCUGCAUAAUUGAAGGAAACCCAUCCUUUGCACUUUCACUAGCAACUCAAAUAUCCUUCAAAUUACUCUCUCGUUCCAGCCUAUCCAUGGAGUUUCAAGUAUACAACAAGAGACCACCAUUCAAAGAACUCUUCCCCUACACAGACAUCACAAGGCUUUGUGACCAGGGGGAUUAGCGCUGCUUUCCCAAGACAGGUUUAUAUGUGAUUAUGAUCUUCAGGCUUUGCCUAACCAGGUUGGCUGGCCGGUGCUGACGGGACUGAGCUGAGGCUAGGGUUCAACUUCCUUUUAAGACUUCCGCUGUAGCAGUAAAUAAUAUUUUGUCUUUUGUUUUCUCAACUUAAGACUUUCAUAUCAGAUUUAGAAUGACAUCUAUGAUUGAGCCUAAGCACUUAACUCCUAGUUUUAUGCUAAUGAAUUUUGGUUAUCAGAAGCAUGAAACAAAACUUGUGAUCCAAAGGGGCCUAGCCCGACUCGUUAUCUUAUUAUUCGAGUCUUAACAAGGUUGUUCCUUGUUUAUUUCUAUGAAUUAGUUGCACCUCGAUUAUAUUUAUUCAUUCAAGAA